rnacentral:snRNA from 1 species
AUGUUCACCUUAGCAAUACAUACACUAAAAUGGGAAUGAUACAGAGAAGAAGAGUAUGGUCCCUAAGCAGGACGACGGGCAAAUCUGUGAAGUGUUCCAUAUUUUC